rnacentral:rRNA from 1 species
AUUGAACGCUGGCGGCAUGCCUUACACAUGCAAGUCGAGCGGUAACAGGUCUUCGGAUGCUGACGAGUGGCGAACGGGUGAGUAUUACAUCGGAACGUGCCUAGUAGUGGGGGAUAACUACUCGAAAGAGUGGCUAAUACCGCAUGAGAUCUACGGAUGAAAGCAGGGGAUCGCAAGACCUUGUGCUACUAGAGCGGCCGAUGGCAGAUUAGGUAGUUGGUGGGAUAAAAGCUUACCAAGCCGACGAUCUGUAGCUGGUCUGAGAGGACGAUCAGCCACACUGGGACUGAGACACGGCCCAGACUCCUACGGGCGGCAGCAGUGGGGAAUUUUGGACAAUGGGCGCAAGCCUGAUCCAGCAAUGCCGCGUGCAGGAUGAAGGCCUUCGGGUUGUAAACUGCUUUUGUACGGAACGAAAAGCCCCGGGUUAAUACCCUGGGGUCAUGACGGUACCGUAAGAAUAAGCACCGGCUAACUACGUGCCAGCAGCCGCAGUAA